GUUAAAAAUAUAAAGUCUAACCUGCCCACUGAUAAUUAUUAAAGGGCCGCGGUAUAUUGACUGUGCAAAGGUAGCAUAAUCAUUUGUCUCUUAAUUGGAGGCUGGAAUGAAUGGUUGAAUGAAAUAUUAACUGUCUCAUUAUUAAAAAAAUAAAAAUUUAGCUUUUAAGUUAAAAGGCUUAAAUUAUUUUAGAGGACGAGAAGACCCUAUAGAUCUUUAUAUUUAUAAUAAUUUAAUAAUUUGAAUUAUAUUAAUUAAUUUAUGAAUAAAUAUUUUAUUGGGGUGAUAGGAAAAUUUAAUAAACUUUUUUUAAUUUAAAACAUUGAUUUAUGAAUAAUUGAUCCAUUUUUAGUGAUUAUAAGAUUAAGUUACCUUAGGGAUAACAGCGUAAUUUUUUUAGAGAGUUCAUAUCGAUAAAAAAGAUUGCGACCUCGAUGUUGAAUUAAAGGUUAUUUCUAGAUGUAGCAGUUUAGAGUUUAGGUC
rnacentral:rRNA from 1 species